rnacentral:rRNA from 1 species
GGAUGAACGUUGGCGGCGUGCCUAAUACAUGCAAGUCGAACGAAGACUGUAGUAAUACUGUCUUAGUGGCGAACGGGUGAGUAACGCGUGGGUGACCUGCCCCGAAGUGUGGGAUAACAGUCCGAAAGGAUUGCUAAUACUGCAUAAUAUCCAAGAGAUUAGAUGCUUUUGGAUUAAAGGAGUAAUUCGCUUCGGGAGGGGCCCGCGUCCCAUCAGCUAGUUGGUAAGGUAAUGGCUUACCAAGGCGAUGACGGGUAGGGGACCUGAGAGGGUGGCCCCCCACAAUGGAACUGAAACACGGUCCAUACACCUACGGGUGGCAGCAGUAGGGAAUAUUAGUAAUGGGCGAAAGCCUGAACUAGCAACGCCGCGUGUGCGAAGAAGGCCUUCGGGUCGUAAAGCACUUUUUGAGAGGAUGAGGAAGGACGGUACUCUCAGAAUAAGUCUCGGCUAACUACGUGCCAGCAGCCGCGGUAACACGUAGGAGGCAAACGUUAUCCGGAUUUACUGGGCGUAAAGCGCGUGUAGGUGGUUUGGUAAGUAGGGCGUGAAAGCUCCUGGCUCAACUGGGAGAGGACGUUCUAAACUGCCAAGCUUGAGGAUGGUAGAGGGAGGUGGAAUUCCGGGUGUAGCGGUGGAAUGCGCAGAUAUCCGGAGGAACACCAGUGGCGAAGGCGGCCUCCUGGACCACUCCUGACACUCAGACGCGAAAGCUAGGGUAGCAAACGGGAUUAGAGACCCCGGUAGUCCUAGCCCUAAACGAUGUAGACUUGGCGUCGGUGGUUUAAUCGCCAUCGGUGUCGUAGCUAACGCGAUAAGUCUACCGCCUGGGGACUACGGCCGCAAGGUUAAAACUCAAAGGAAUUGACGGGUCCCCGCACAAGCAGCGGAGCGUGUGGUUUAAUUCGAUGCUACACGAAGAACCUUACCUGGGUUUGACAUAGAGGUAGUAGGGAAGCGAAAGCGGACCGACCCUUCGGGGAGCCUCUACAGGUGUUGCAUGGUUGUCGUCAGCUCGUGUCGUGAGAUGUUGGGUUAAGUCCCGCAACGAGCGCAACCCCUAUCCAAUGUUGCCAACAGGUAAAGCUGGGGACUCAUUGGAGACUGCCGGAGACGAUCUGGAGGAAGGUGGGGAUGAGGUCAAAUCAUCAUGGCCCUUAAGCCCUGGGCUACACACGCGCUACAAUGGCCGGUACAACGGGCAGCGAAGGAGCGAUCCGGAGCGAAUCCCAAAAAGCCGGCCCCAGUUGGAAUCGCAGGCUGCAACUCGCCUGCGUGAACAUGGAAUUGCCAGUAAUCGCGAAUCAGCUACGUCGCGGUGAAUACGUUCCCGGGCCU